AAGCAAGUCCGUGGCUCUUCGCGCAACAGACUGCAAGCGAAGACACGAGAUGCGUGAACGAGGCAUGAGAGUAAAAAAGGUGCUCGAGAAUUGUGUAGUGGAGGUCGAGUCUAGAUGACCCCAGGAAUAUGUUGUUUAUGUGCUUUUUGAUUACAGGAAAGCGCGGGACUCCAGUGCGGGACAUCCACUUUCAAGAUCCACUUGAAAACUCUUCUUUCUUUCUAUCUAAUAAAUUCGAAUUGAAAGUGCUGGCCGGGCAAAAAAACUGGCCACUUUAAUACGCACGCUGCGCAUCGCUGACUCGAUAUGGGAAAAAGUGUGCGAACAUGAACAUCCACUUUUCCGUACUUUACAUACAGCGAUUUCGGUCAGGUAUGCACUAGAGUGCACUGAUACGCACGAAUUGAUGUAACAACAUGUGUACUGCACAUGUGAGUAUUCGAUGUAGUAUAUGAAUAUGUGACAAUCGGUACGCUGAAGAGAAAUAUUGACAAUAAAAUAAAAGUACCAGUGUCUUGUAUCUAAUUCUUAAUAUCAUGGUCUUUAAAUACUGAUAUUUAAAAGUUCAACACAGAAUAUAUGUAUAUUUAUAUAUUUAACAGGGUUAAAAAUUAAGUUAGGAAGUUAAUAAUUUUUAACUUAAACUUAGUUACUUUAAAGUACAUUAAUGUUUAUUUAUUAAUUCUUUUUAUACCAGAUAAAAUAAUCCACCAAUACUAAAAUUAUUGCCGAAUUCUAACAAUAUAAAAUAUGAAAAAUUAAGAAUAAAAAUACUAGUAGAAUUAUGUUUAUAUCUCUGUGUGCCAGUAUUAUUUUUUUGUAUGAAAUCUUCAGCUGUUAGUAUUUUAUUUAUAUAAAAGUUCAUUAUUUUACAUAAGUUUAAUAUAUGAUUAAAAAAUUAAUUAUGUAAGAGGCAUUUACAUCGCUUUGCAUAAUUAAAUUUCAACUUUAGUAAUUUAAUUUAAUUUUAAUUUAAUGUUUAUGGUUGUGUCACAAAUUUUAUUUCAACAUAUUUUGCAAGAAUUUUUAGCAUGCAUUUUUUCACUUUAUGAACCAAGAUAUAGAGACGUGACUAAAAAAUAGAAAAAUAACUUCCAAAAUCUAGUUUGAUCACCUAAAUAUGUAAUUUAACAAGAAUCUUAGUUUUGAGAACUACAUAUUUAUUAUAUAUAAUUAAAUUAUUUUCUAAUUAUCACAGUACAUUUGACUCGCACUAUAUUUAGCUAAAUAAUUUAGUGACAGCUAUCAAAAUUUAAUACUUAUUCCGAUGGUUCCGAAAACCUUCUUUCAAUAUGCAUGAUGUUUAAGAGAAUUUCUGUCGCGCGCGGUCCAGUGGCCGAGACACUUGUCAGCUAUGUUUACGCACUUUAAGUACUUGAGUAAAUUUGUAUACGAUGGGCUUUUAGAACGCAUCAGAGAGAGUACUCAGUGCACACUCAAUUCUCUAACAGACGCACGAUCGAUUGAUUUACUAAUAGAUAGAACAUUGUAUGGAGUUCGAGCAAAUUUAGAGAGAUGAAAGUAGGUUUGUUUGAUCUUCAACGCGCUAUCUUCAUUUGUUUAACGAAGUCACUCGGCGUCCAAAGACUCUUUUUCUGAAGGUUCUAAAUGGGAAGCGCGAUAAAAAGAAACAAAAAUGAAAAUUUAAUAUGGUUCUGGCGUUAUACUCUAUAGUCAAUCACAUAUAUUUUAUAUUUUUAAUAAAAUCAUACAUUAUUUUAUAUACAUUAUAUUAUAUUUUUAAUAAAAUCGUUUAAAGUAACUAAAAAAAUAAUUUUGCAACAAUAUUAGUGAGAUAAAAUUCGUGAAUUUUAUGAUAUGUAAUCGUCAAUACCGUGUCAAUACCAAAGAAAAAAGAUAUGAAUAUGAAGUAUA